rnacentral:rRNA from 1 species
GACGAACGCUGGCGGCGUGCUUAACACAUGCAAGUCGGACGAUGAAGCUAGAGCUUGCUCUGGUGGAUUAGUGGCGAAGGGGGGAGUAACACGUGAUUAACCUGCCCCGAACUCGGGGAUAACUGCGGGAAACGUUAGCUAAUACUGGAUACGACAAACAAAGGCAUCUUCUGUUGUUGGAAGGAAUUUCGGUUCGGGGGGGCCUCGCGGCCUAUCAGCUUGUUGGGGGGGUAAAGGCACACCAAGCCGACGACGGGUAGCCGGCCAGCGAGGGUGAUCGGCCACACUGGGACUGAGACACGGCACAGACUCCUACGGGAGGCAGCAGUGGGGAAUAUUGCACAAUGGGCGCAAGCCUGAUGCAGCAACGCCGCGUGAGGGACGACGGCCUUCGGGUUGUAAACCUCUUUUAGUAGGGAAGAAGCGAAAGUGACGGUACCUGCAGAAAAAGCACCGGCUAACUACGUGCCAGCCGCCGCAGUAA